AAAAUACGGGAGGCAGCAGUGAGGAAUAUUGGUCAAUGGGCGAGAGCCUGAACCAGCCAAGUAGCGUGCGGGAUGAAGGCCCUUGUGGUCGUAAACCGCUUUUAUGUGGGGAUAAAUUCAAUCACGUGUGAUUGUUUGCAGGUACCACAUGAAUAAGGACCGGCUAAUUCCGUGCCAGCAGCCGCGGUAAUUUUU
rnacentral:rRNA from 1 species